UGGCGACCGGCGCACGGGUGAGUAACGCGUAUCCAACCUGCCCCUUACUAUGGGACAGCCCGUCGAAAGGCGGAUUAAUACCGUAUGUUGUCAUGUUGAUGCAUAUUUUCAUGACCAAAGGCUUCGGCCGGUAAAGGAUGGGGAUGCGUCUGAUUAGCUUGCCGGCGGGGUAACGGCCCACCGGGGCGACGAUCAGUAGGGGUUCUGAGAGGAAGGUCCCCCACAUUGGAACUGAGACACGGUCCAAACUCCUACGGGAGGCAGCAG
rnacentral:rRNA from 1 species